rnacentral:lncRNA from 1 species
CUUCUAUUGUGGAUGAAUUUCUUUCGGAUUUCUAUUGUAGACAGGCCUUGGCCGAGAUUCCUCAACAAAUGAUCCCCAUCUGGGCUUCUACAGAGAUUGGACUCCGACCAAACUUCUAUAAGCAGACAAAUGUCGGGCUCACAGAAUCCAGUAGCUGGACCCCUCCAGCGGAUGAACCUCUCCAGCACCAUCCGACAUCCACCACCGGUCAACCCUCUGCCGAAGUCUGUGCGAAAUCAGGCUACAUCUGCGGAAAGCCUCUGACCGAGCUCCUACGGCAAGUGGUC